AGCUAAAUAGUCACAGGCAAGAUAUUAUAAUUUGCAACUAUAUAACAGCUUACUAAAGCCUUGUCUA
rnacentral:tRNA from 1 species